UACGAACUGUGCGAACGUUAUUCGGAAUCACUGGGCUUACAGGGUGCGUAGGCGGCCUUCCAAGUCAGGUGUGGAAUCCCCCAGCUCAACUGGGGAACAGCGCUUGAAACUGGUUGGCUUGAGUCAGCUAGAGGUGCACGGAACUUCCGGUGGAGCGGUGAAAUGUGUUGAUAUCGGAAGGAACACCAGAGGCGAAAGCGGUGCACUGGAGCUGGUCUGACGCUGAGGCACGAAAGCCAGGGGAGCGAACGGG
rnacentral:rRNA from 1 species